rnacentral:rRNA from 1 species
AGAGUUUGAUCAUGGCUCAGAUUGAACGCUGGCGGAAUGCUUUACACAUGCAAGUCGAACGGCAGCACGGACUUCGGUCUGGUGGCGAGUGGCGAACGGGUGAGUAAUAUAUCGGAACGUGCCCAGUCGUGGGGGAUAACGUAGUGAAAAUUACGCUAAUACCGCAUACGAUCUAUGGAUGAAAGCGGGGGAUCGCAAGACCUCGCGCGAUUGGAGCGGCCGAUAUCAGAUUAGGUAGUUGGUGAGGUAAAGGCUCACCAAGCCGACGAUCUAUAGCUGGUCUGAGAGGAUGAUCAGCCACACUGGGACUGAGACACGGCCCAGACUCCUACGGGAGGCAGCAGUGGGGAAUUUUGGACAAUGGGCGCAAGCCUGAUCCAGCCAUUCCGCGUGCAGGACGAAGGCCUUCGGGUUGUAAACUGCUUUUGUACAGAACGAAAAGCUCUGAGUUAAUACCUCGGGGUCAUGACGGUACUGUAAGAAUAAGCACCGGCUAACUACGUGCCAGCAGCCGCGGUAAU